rnacentral:rRNA from 1 species
CCUACGGGAGGCAGCAGUGGGGAAUCUUGCGCAAUGGGCGAAAGCCUGACGCAGCAACGCCGCGUGCGGGAUGAAGGCCUUCGGGUUGUAAACCGCUUUCAGCAGGGACGAAGAUGACGGUACCUGCAGAAGAAGCCCCGGCCAACUACGUGCCAGCAGCCGCGGUAACACGUAGGGGGCGAGCGUUGUCCGGAUUUAUUGGGCGUAAAGAGCUCGUAGGCGGUUCCGUCAGUCGGGUGUGAAAACUCUGGGCUCAACCCAGAGACGCCACCCGAUACUGCGGUGACUAGAGUCCGGUAGGGGAGUGCGGAAUUCCUGGUGUAGCGGUGAAAUGCGCAGAUAUCAGGAGGAACACCAACGGCGAAGGCAGCACUCUGGGCCGGUACUGACGCUGAGGAGCGAAAGCGUGGGGAGCGAACAGGAUUAGAUACCCUGGUAGUCCACGCCGUAAACGUUGGGCACUAGGUGUGGGACCUUUCCAACGGGUUCCGUGCCGCAGCUAACGCAUUAAGUGCCCCGCCUGGGGAGUACGGCCGCAAGGCUAAAACGUCAAAGGAAUUGACGG